AUGAUUGACCUAAAUGAGGAACCAGAUGAUAUGGAUAUUGGUGAUCCAGUGAACUCUACACAACAGGGUGCUCAAAAUCCUGAGUUUGCCAGUGAUUCUCCUAAUCCUCCUAUAAUGCAAAAUGCCACUGCUCCUGUGGCAAAAACAGUGGAGACAGAUGAGCAAGCACCUGCAGCACAAGAAUCUGAGACUGAUGGUCAUAUCCUUGAUGGCACGGAUGCCGCGGGUGAUACAAGUGUGACUGUUGGUAAUGGUUUGACAGGCUUCGGUGCUGAAAAUGAUGAAGAAGCUUGGUCACAACCCAAGGAGCCUCAUUUGGGCAUGAGGUUUGACACUUUAGAAGGCGCCAAAUAG
rnacentral:rRNA from 1 species